rnacentral:lncRNA from 1 species
ACGAGGCCAUAGAUUUGCUUCUCAAAUCUCUUAGUUGAUGAUCUCGAACCAACCUUAUCCCGGAUCAACCUUAUGUUAUAUUAUGUCUUUCAUUUCAUGUUUUCAAACUUGUCUUUUGUUUCUAUUUUCAAGAGAGCGUGUGACUUUACUCUCUUGAUAGUUUUCGAGAAGCUUGGAGUCUGUUCCAACUUCUCUUAUAUAAGUGUACUUUGAACCCCUUAUCAAUAAUCAAUUAUCUUUUAUCAUAAACCUUUUCUUUGUUCUCUCUACUGCUUGUCCGCGAGUUGUUGAGUGUUCUUGUUGGUGUGUAGUAUCCAACAACCUAAGAGUGUCUAUCUCGGUGUGUCAUAUCCGAUCUAGUCACUUAGGAGUAUCAAGGAGCCUUUCCGCAGCCUCUUGUGUCACCAAUCGAUCCACAACCUUGUAGAGCUUGAGUCUUUGAUUCGUUCUAGCAAGGAUCUAUCCCAUACUAUCCAGAGAAGCAAUCUAGGGACGUAUUAUGUGGUAUCAGAGCAUCUCUGGUUAGGGAAGUACUCGUUUCUCUUUUGUUUCGAUUUAACCUGUUCAUCUUCUUGAUCAGUUUUUAGAUCGAUCCGUUUUGUUUCAACUGAUCUGUUCUUUGUUUCGCAAUAUCCAUUGAUUGAUCUGUGAUCCGUGGUCGUUUGAGUGUGUGAUCUAAUCAUUUUGUGUCGAUCUAAUUGUUAAAAGUUUGAGAUUGAUAGAUCUAGGUUUCGCGUUUUUUAGAUCCGAUUGUUAUCGAUUCAUAUUCUAGAUUUGAUCUUUUGUUUGAAUCUAAUUGAUCGUGUGAUCUGUUUUAAAUCACCUAUAACAACUAGAUCUACUUGUGUGUCGUCGAAAUCUGAUUAACAAACCUACCUUGAUCGCGUUUCUAUUGUGAUUUUCAAGUUGUCGAUUUGAAUCCUUCUUUGCUUGAUAAUCAAGUUUUCUUUUACCGCCAGUUAUUUUCAGUUUAAAAUCUCUUGAUCAUCUACUGAUUACGAUCAGUUUAUUGGAACUAUUUACUGGUUGAGUGUUGUUAUUGAUUCUAGGUACCAAUGGGGAAAGAAUCAGAAGAAGAAGCCGAGCUAGUAAGGAAGAACAAGAUGCUGAGAGAUCAAAUGACCGAACAAAUGAAUCAGACCAUGAUCUCUACUAUGGCUGAUAUGCUCAAGGCUAGCAUGAAGGAAUUACGUGAGGAGAUGAGACAAGAGUUGAGGCAAGCUACUGGCCAGGGACAUAGCAAUGAGUCUAGAAGAAACCGGCCUACUCCAGUACGGCAAGAGCAUGCGGGUUCACAAGAAACCGACAACUACUACUCGCGCAAUAGAACUGAGCACAACCCAACGGAGCGCAGUAGUUCAUCUUCUGAACUGAGCAGAGGAAGAUCAAGGCGUGAACAUGAUGGAAGGGGGUCACGCAAAGACAAGCUUUCAGGACUUAAGCUUAAGAUUCCACCCUUCCAUGGCAAGGUGGAUCCAGAUGCCUACUUGGAGUGGGAAAAGAAGAUCGAGCUUGUCUUCAAUUGUCAACACUACUCCAAUGCCCAAAGGAUCAAGAUUGCAGCAACUGAAUUCUAUGAUUAUGCGUUGAGUUGGUGGGAUCAACUUGUAACUACUAGACGGCUUAACCAAGAGAAUCCGGUUGAUUCAUGGCACGAGAUGAAGUCACUCAUGCGCAAACGGUUUGUUCCAAGUCACUAUCACCGCGACCUACAUCAAAAGCUGCGAAGACUUACCCAAGGAACACGAACUGUUGAAGAAUACUAUCAAGACAUGGAGUUGCUGAUGUUGAGAGCUAGUAUCUUGGAGGAUAGAGAAGCCACUAUGGCAAGGUUUCUUGGAGGGCUUAACCGUGAGAUACAAGACAAUGUGGAGAUGCAACACUAUGUGGAAAUAGAAGAGAUGUUGCACAAAGCUAUUCUAGUGGAGCAGCAGCUCAAGAGGAAGGGUAACUCACGCAGCUAUGGAUCAUCUAAGUUCCACCACUCUAAAGAAGAGAAAACAUCCUAUCUGAAGGAUAGCAAGCCUCAGCAGAAAGAAGCGACUAAGCCGAGCAGCAUAUACAGCAAAGACAAAGGCAAAGCUGAAAUUACUAGUUCAAGAACUAGAGAUGUUAAGUGCUUCAAAUGUCAAGGGCGUGGGCAUUAUGCUAAUGAGUGCACCAACAAAAAGGUUAUGAUUCUUCUUGAGAAUGGAGAGUAUGAAUCAGAGGAAGAGAAGUUUGGUUCUGAUCAUGAGGAGUCUGAAGAAGAAAGUGAAGUAGAACCCGUGAAAGGAAGAUUGUUGGUGACAAGAAGGCUCUUGAACGUGCAAGCCAAGAAUGGAGAGUUUGAGCAGCGAGAGAAUCUAUUCUACACAAGGUGUAUGGUUCAGGGAAAGGUGUGCAGUCUCAUUAUUGAUGGAGGAAGUUGUGUCAAUGUAGCCAGUGAGACUAUGGUGAAGAAAUUGGGUUUGAAAAUUCAGAAACACCCAAGACCCUACAGAUUGCAGUGGCUCAAUGAGGAGGGCGAGAUGAAAGUUUCUACUCAAGUACUGGUUCCUAUAGCCAUUGGUAGAUAUGAAGAUGAAGUCUUGUGUGAUGUGUUGCCAAUGGAAGCCAGUCAUAUACUCCUUGGAAGACCCUGGCAGUAUGAUAGACGUGUGAAUCAUGAUGGCUUCACCAACAAACAUUCUUUUGAAUUCAACGGAAAGAAGACUGUGCUGGUGCCUCUGUCUCCUAAAGAGGUUCAUGAAGAUCAAAUCCAGCUUCAGAAAAAGAAAGCGAAAGAGAUUGAUCUCAAACCUGAUCAUGACAAGCAUCACAGCCUCUAUGCCAAACAGGGAGAUAUCAAAAGAAUUCUCUACUCUCAAAAUUCUAUUAUCUUGCUUAUGUUUAAAGAGACUCUUCUAACCAUUACUGAUCACACACCGGAUCAUCCGAGUGAACUAGUUUCUCUUUUACAGGAGUAUGCAGAUGUGUUUCCAGAAGAUAGCCCCAUUGGAUUGCCUCCAGUGCGUGGGAUUGAGCACCAAAUAGACUUUGUACCUGGUUCUACACUGCCCAACCGUCCAGCAUACAGGACCAAUCCACUUGAAACCAAAGAACUGCAGAAACAAGUAGAGGAGCUGAUGGAGAAGGGUCAUAUCCGAGAAAGUUUGAGUCCUUGUGCAGUUCCAGUGCUCCUUGUGCCAAAGAAAGAUGGGAGCUGGCGCAUGUGUGUUGAUUGUAGAGCAAUCAACAACAUAACAGUGAAGUAUCGCCACCCUAUUCCUAGAUUAGAUGAUAUGCUUGAUGAAUUGCAUGGUUCUUGCAUCUUUUCUAAGAUAGACUUGAAAAGUGGAUAUCAUCAGAUUAGGAUGAAAGAAGGAGAUGAAUGGAAAACUGCAUUUAAAACUAAACAUGGCUUGUAUGAAUGGUUAGUUAUGCCAUUUGGAUUAACCAAUGCGCCUAGUACAUUCAUGAGAUUGAUGAAUCAUAUUCUUAGGUCUUUCAUAGGCAUCUUUGUUGUUGUGUACUUUGAUGAUAUCUUAGUUUACAGCAAAUGCUUAGAAGAUCAUAUAGAACAUCUUAGGGCUGUUUUGGAUGUUUUGAGAAAGGAAAAGCUAUAUGCCAAUCUAAAGAAGUGCACUUUUUGCACAGAUAACUUGGUCUUUCUAGGUUUUGUUGUAAGUGCAGAUGGUGUAAAAGUGGAUCAGGAAAAGAUCAAAGCAAUACAAGAGUGGCCGAGUCCAACUACAGUGGGAGAAGUAAGGAGUUUUCAUGGACUGGCAGGUUUCUAUAGGCGCUUUGUGAAGGAUUUCAGCACUCUAGCAGCUCCCCUAACUGAGAUAAUCAAGAAGGAUGUAGGAUUCAAGUGGGGAGAAGCUCAGGAAGCCGCAUUCCAACUCCUUAAAGAGAAGCUUACUCAAUCUCCUCUUCUCAUACUUCCUGAUUUUUCUAAAACAUUUGAAAUAGAAUGUGAUGCCUCAGGAAUUGGAAUUGGUGCUGUGUUGAUGCAGGAUAAAAGACCUAUUGCUUAUUUCAGCGAGAAACUCAGUGGAGCUACUCUCAACUACGCCACUUAUGACAAAGAACUCUACGCCUUGGUGAGAGCUCUACAGACUUGGCAGCAUUAUCUCUGGCCAAAGGAGUUUGUCAUUCACACCGACCAUGAAUCUCUCAAGUAUCUCAAAGGACAAAGUAAGCUCAGCAAGAGACAUGCUAGAUGGGUAGAAUUCAUUGAAACCUUCCCGUAUGUGAUCAAAUACAAACAAGGUAAGGAGAAUAUAGUUGCUGAUGCACUAUCCCGAAGGUAUGUCCUCUUAACUACUCUUGAUGCUAAGUUGCUAGGCUUUGAGCAGAUUAAAGAAAUGUAUGAAUCUGAUCCUGACUUUCAAGAAGCUUAUAAAUCAUGUGCUAAGUAUGCUUCAGGACAUUAUUUUAGGCAUGAUGGAUUCUUAUUCUAUGACAAUCGUUUAUGUGUGCCUAAUUGCUCUUUAAGAGAUCUAUUUGUCAGGGAAUCCCAUGGAGGAAGCUUGAUGGGUCAUUUUGGUAUAGCAAAAACCCUUAAAGUUUUGCAGGAUCACUUCUAUUGGCCGCAUAUGAAAAGAGAUGUGGAGAGAAUCUGUGGAAGGUGCACAACUUGCAAGCUUGCAAAGUCUAAGGUUCAACCUCACGGUUUGUAUACUCCUUUGCCUAUUCCUACUCAUCCUUGGAAUGAUAUAUCUAUGGACUUUGUUAUGGGUUUGCCUAGAACUAGGACUGGAAAGGAUUCUAUCUUUGUGGUUGUUGAUAGAUUCUCUAAAAUGGCACAUUUCAUAGCUUGCAAUAAGACUGAUGAUGCAUUACAUGUAGCUAAUUUGUUCUUUAAAGAAGUGGUACGUUUGCAUGGGAUGCCUAGGACUAUAGUUUCAGAUAGAGAUACUAAAUUCCUUAGCUACUUUUGGAAAACAUUGUGGUCUAAACUAGGAACUAAGCUAUUGUUUUCUACUACUUGUCAUCCACAAACUGAUGGGCAAACUGAAGUAGUUAAUAGAACCUUAGGUACUCUCCUGCGUGCAUUCAUUAAAAAGAACUUGAAAUCAUGGGAAGAUUAUUUACCUCAUUGUGAAUUUGCAUACAAUCAUGCUAUGCAUUCUGCUUCUAAGUUUUCUCCGUUUGAAAUUGUUUAUGGGUUCAAUCCCAUCUCACCUUUGGAUCUAAUACCUUUACCUGAGUGUGAAAGGGUUAGUAUGGAUGGGAAAAAGAAAGCUGAGAUGGUUCAGCAAAUUCAUGAGCAAGCUAAGCGCAAUCUAGAAGAGAAAACUAAGCAAUACGCCAAACAAGCCAACAAGGGAAGGCGUGAGAUGAUCUUUGAAGUUGGAGAUCAAGUAUGGGUUCACUUGAGGAAAGAAAGGUUUCCAAAAGAGAGGAAGUCUAAGCUAAUGCCAAGGAUUGAUGGCCCUUUUGAAGUCACCAAGAGGAUCAAUGACAAUGCCUACAAACUUGAUCUGCAAGGUAAGUACGACAUAAGUGAUAGCUUCAAUGUUACUGACUUGAUCCCUUUUGUUGCAGAUGAGCCAGAUUUGAGGUCAAAUCCUUUUCAAGAGGGAGGGGAUGAUGUGAUCAUGGACCAACUAUCUAAUGGAGAUGAUGAGGAUCUGGAUAAGCCGACUGAUGGAGAUGUUCUAGCCUUGCCUAAAGGACCUAUGACUCGAUCAAGAUCAAGGAAGCUCACGCAAGUUAUUGGAGGAUUGGUUAAGAGGUCAUGGAAGCAAGAGGAAUGUCUUGGUAGAAGCUUGAUCAACCAAGACACACUUAUCACCAUUCAAGCAACUUCACCAUCAAGCUGAUCAUCAACUAAGCAAGCAAACUAUGUGUGCUCUUUUUCCCUAUCUUUGGUUUUGUCCCAAUGGGUUUUCCAAAGAUAGGUUUUUAACGAGGCCAUAGAUUUGUUUCUCAAAUCUCUUAGUUGAUGAUCUCGAUCCAACCUUAUCCCGGAUCAACCUUAUGUUAUAAUAAGUCUUUCAUUUCAUGUUUUAUUUUCAAACUUGUCAUUUGUUUCUAUUUUCAAGAGAGCGUGUGCCUUUACUCUCUUGAUAGUUUUCGAGAAGUUUGGAGUCUGUUCCAACUUCUCUUAUAUAUAAGUGUACUUUGAACCCCUUAUGAUCAUCAAUUAUCUUUUAUCAUAAACCUUUUCUUUGUUCUCUCUACUGCUUGUCCGCGAGUUGUUGAGUGAUCUUGUUGGUGUGUAAUAUCCAGCAACCCAAGAGUGUCUAUCUCGGUGU